UAAGAAAAAGCCCUAACCCUAAACGGCUACCCUAAUUCCCAAUACCCUUCCCCUGACCCUGGACCUAGGCUGGAGCUCUCCAAGCCUUUCUUCCUCACCUCAUCACACCAACAAUUUCGAGUCUCUUCUUCCCCUCAUCACACCAACACUCUCUUCCUCGCAGUCCCUCUCAGUUUCGAAGACUCUCUUCCUCUGCUUCGUCUCCGUCGCGUCUCCUCCGUCGCUGCUGCGGUGCUGCCCUCCGUCGCUGCUGCGGUGCUGCCUCUCCGUCGCCAGAUCUGCCUCAUCCAAAUUACUCUCUUGUUUCAAACAUGGUAUCAAGAGCAUAGGUUUUUUUUUCCAAUGAAAAUUCGGUCAUAGCCCCUUGUUUUUUUCCUCUUCCGGCAGUGUUUUUUGGCCUCAUUUUUCGAUCCUUUCCCGACGCUUUGGUUUGUCACCGCCCCUACCACCGUCUUCUUCUCGUCGUUGCGAGUUCAACGAAACCAGCCUCGUCGUCGGAAACCACCGCACGCGCCGCCACGCGCCGUCUGAAGGUCGUCGUCCGUUUUGCUUCUUUUCCUUCUUCCAGACGCUUCCAGGACCGUCCGAUCUCAACAUCAACGCCCAGGAUUGACCCACGUGUCGCGAAGCCACGCCCCCAGGAUCAGCGCCCACCCAGCACCGUUCGAUCUUUAGCCACGAUCCACCGGUCUAGCGAGCGCCACGUGUCGCGAAGUCAGCGCCUCUAGCAACCCGCGCUCGCACCCGACCCGACCCGUCUCACGACCCGCGCACCACCCUCGCUGACUCAGCGCUGACGAGGCUUCUCUUCUCCACUCAGACGUCGCCACGUGUCACCUUCUUGCUGACGUGGCUGCUAACAUGGAAUCUGACGUGGCAGCUGACGUGUCAUACAGUGGGGCCCUCCCUAAGGUUUUUUGGUGAGCUCUUUUCGAUUUUGCCGUCUAUUUUCUCGUUUUCUGCUCCAAAACUGUAAUUUUCUCUCCUCUCUUUGAUCUCUAUGUCUACUAUUAUGGAAAAGUCAGAUAUCUUUGCUGCCACAGACAGAAAGGAUAAAUUCUGUUGAAAUUGUAACCGCUAUGGGCACCUCUUCUCUGAUUGUCCUUCUGUUGAAUGUCGCACAUGCCACAAGAAAGGUCACAUUAGUUACCAUUGUUCACAGCUGUUUUGUCAUUAUUGCAAGCUCUCGGGACAUUUGAUUACUGUCUGUCCUACUCGCCCACCACGUCCUCAUCAUCUCACGCAUGCUUGUCAUCCCAACUUCUCCAAGAAUGUGUCUGCUUCUACUAUUGCUGCUACUACUGAAUCUACCACCUCUGCUCCUCUCAACCCAUCUCAUGUCUCUCUCUGAUAUUACGUCUCUCCUUAAGCAUAUUCUCUCCCAUUCUGGAUCGUCAGACGGGAUAAAUCAUCGGGACUGGACGUAAGGUUGGAAGGUUGUUUGAACUCGAGAAUCUUCAUAUUCCUCCUGUGCAAAAUCUCUGUGCUACUUCUUCUCCUUCUACUCUUCACUUAUGGCAUCAACGUCUUGCCCACACCUCCUUGGGAAAGAUGCGUCCUCUUGUGUCUCAGGGUGUUUUGGGUCAGGUUAAUCAUGAGUUUUUUUAUUGUAUUUCUUGUCAAACUGCUAAACAACCCGCUUUACUUGAUGAUUAUUCUCGUUUUACUUGGGUUUAUUUGAUGACCAAUCGCCAUGAGUUACCUCAAAUUUAUAUUAACUUUGCCACUAUGAUUAAAACUCAAUUUUCCAAGGUCAUUAAGGUUUUUCGCCGCGAUAAUGCUAUAGAAUACUGUGAUUCCAAACUCUUAACCUUUCUUGCAGAAUAGGGUACCUUGUUUGAGUUUUCUUGCCCUGGUACGUCUCAACAAAAUGGCCGAGCUUAACGCAAACACCAUCAAAUUCUUGACUCUGUUCGUGCAAUGCUUCUUUCUUCUUCGUGUCCUGAGCGUACUUGGGGUGAAGCUGUUCUCAUUGCUAUCCAUGUUAUCAAUAGACUCCCUUCUUCUGUUCUUGGU